rnacentral:lncRNA from 1 species
CACACUGAGGCGCACGCGCGAUGUCUCCGCCGCCGCCUUCUACCCCCCACUCCCACCUGAACUUCGUUGGCUGUGGGAACGGGACGCUCUCUCUGGUGGCCUUGUGAGACACGAAGCCCAGCCGUGAGCUGGCAGUGCCGGAGAGGGAACGGAGCCACAACCCUCAAGCAGCCAUUCCCAGAGCAGAGGCCAUCAGGUGGUGUGCAGCCAGCCCACUGAGCUUAGAGGGCUUCACACAGCCGCUCCUGCAAGUGCGAUUGUCGGACUGCAGAAAAUGAAGCGCAUUGACCUGCUGGGUAUGGGCCUACUCUUCAGUAUCAUCCAUUUUCAGGAUUUACUGGAGGGAGGUCAGCACAGGCCGGCUACCAGGCACCCUUCCCAGGCUUGCUCAAGGUGGUCUGCAAAGGGGCCGCAGACACAGGGCAGCUGAAAUGCUGCCCUUUGUGGGGAGACCUGCAUCUGUACCAGAAGCAAGUGGAGCGCAGGCAGACUUCCCUUGGUCUAGGAAAGCUCUUGUCACCGGAAGAAGACGCUGGGUUCUGACCCCUUCCCAGAAAGAGAUUACACAAAUGGCCUCCUGACCACUGUCACCUGGAAGACUUUGCAGCCUUGAAGACCGCCUCUGAGGUGCACUGACCUCCCCUCACCCUGUCGUGCCCUUUUGCCACCUACUAUGAGGAGCCUUAAAUUUCUUUUUGUUUUGUUGUUUUUGGUACCAGGGAUUGAACUCAGGACUUCGCGCUUGCAAGGCAGGCUCGGUGCUGCUGUUAAAUUUCUUUUUGUACAUAAACUUGAAUCAUUGAG